AGGCGUACUUGGGGGGGGGGGGGAGUGGUGGGAAAUGAUGUCCAGAAAGCGCAAGGGCAAAGUGGAGGUGAAGGGGCGUGGGAAGGGGGGAAAUGGGGAAAGAAAGAAAAGGGAUUGAGAGAAAGCUGUUGGCCUCGUUUUGUUCAUCGGCAAGAAGCGUGACAGGCAGCUCAUGUAAUGAACUACGGCGUCCCGGUCCUAUCUGAGUGUGCGCUGCAGUUGCUAAAUUUGACAAGGCUUUGCCGGGAUGCGACCUUGGCAAACCCGCGGAGGGCUAAGCCAGCCGUGAGCUGGCGGCGCAGCUUGGAGCAGGACUGCAGAGCAACACCCAAGACAAACAAGGGGCGAAAUUUUGCCAAAAAUUGGUAAUUCAGCUGGUCCAAACAGUUUGUAAUAUGGCUUUCAUUUUUUAUAUUCAUUAUCUUAUUGACGUGGCGAAUCUGUGACUUCUAAGUACAUGAUCCAUUGUGUGAAUGGUCUGGUAUGGACACAAGGCAUCCUAAAACUUCAGCUCUCUCAAGAGCCAGAUGAAUCAAACUUUGACAGGUAUUGUUCUGAAGACUGAAGAAUGCAGAACUCUUGGCCUGUAACAGCUCCAUCACAACUUCUACACCAAGAGAAUCGACCAAGCUAGUAUGGCUUCAAGUAGCGUAAGGCCUUGUCCCUAGGAUAACCCCAGAUCCCCUUAAAAAACCUGCCUGGAGGGAAAGUUAACAAUGCAGGGGAAUUGACUGUUCCAGGCAAAGUCUUGUGAUAGGCAGAGAGUACCUACACCCCCUCUCUUAGAGCAGUUUCUUUGUAGAGCUUGCAUUUAUAAAUCCUUUCUCUGCCCUUUGUGCCAAAAAAUCUGCUAGCCAGAACUAUUUCCUCAAGGACCUAAGAGCCUCUCUGUUUGAAAUGCAGUAAUUCAGGGAGAGCCUAACUUUAAUGGAUGACUUUCUUCAACUUGGACUGCAGCCUCUUGUCUUAAAGAUAGAAGUUUGUUUCUUCUCUGACAAGCACCAGUUAACAAACCCAGAUGGCCUACUCCCGUGAAUCACCAACUCACCCCCUCAAUGCCCCUCAGUGCCUUUCCCUGGGCACACUCCAGCCUUUAAAAAGUUUCCAGCCUCUGUUUCAGGGAAGUUGAGUUUAUUCAUGCAGGCAUAUUACUGAAUAAAAUGUGUCCUUACUACUUCAA